GCUGAUCAAGGAGUAGAGAAAGGGGAGGGAAAUUUUCUUUUCAUCAUUUCUUCUUUCUUUGUGCCAGAAUCAACCAUUCAAGAGAGGUGAGUGUGGUUUUCUUUUCUUUUUUUCAUGCUUUCCUAUCCAAUAAAAAAAGAUUUUUGGUGUUGUUGAAAGGAACACAUCAUCUUCCCCCAUCACGCCUAAUUAUCGUUGGGGAGGAAAGAGUAUGAUUUUUGGUGUUUCUUUGAUAAUCUUUGAGAGGAUUUGGGUGCGUAAUGAGAAAUCCUUAGGAAUCAACUUUAGGAGAAAUUGAGUUGAGUUAGAUAGGAUUUUUCGAUGGGCUUAUGAAAGUGAGAGAUUUAAUUGCAUCCAUAUCAGUUGAUUAAGGUUUUUAAAAGAUUAAUUUUCAUUAAUUUUAUUAAUAACGAUUUUUUAUUGUGUUAUGGAAGCGAAAAAUGAAAGACAACUUUUUAAAAGGGAAAAAAAAGGAUUGAUUGAAAUCAAAGCUUUUUUUCUCUAUUUUUUUAAAAUACUCCAUGAAUACUCCAGUAAUAAUUAAUAUUAAAAAGGAUUUUGAUAUGUGUAGAUAUUAUGGUUAGUUUAAUAAUUGGGAAAAUUUUGGAAAUAAAAUUUAAUUCUGAUAUGAGAAUUGAUUGUUAGUUUUGUUAAGUUGUGUUGUUUGAUUGCAAAUAAAAGAUUUACUAGUAUUCUAUGGUAAUUUUGAUUGUUACUUUUGUUCCACUUCAUGUUUAAACAAUAAUUUUGGUGCGGUUAAAGUUUUUAAGUUGACAAGUUUGACUUUUUAAUGAGAUGUUUUAUGACUUAAUUUUGUUGAACAACAAAUGAGGAAGUAAUUAAGUGCUACAACAUGUGGUGAGCAUUAUCCUUCAAUUGACAACCUUGAAGAAGGAGAGAAGUUUGAACUUUCGUGGAUACUCCUUUCCUUAUAGGCUUGUUAUGGGAUAAUUACUCAAUACAUUUCAAGUGGUAAAUCCAACUUUUAAAUGAGAGAUGAACACUCUUCAGUAUUAGCCUAUAAAUAGGUUGUUUGUGUUACACCUGGUGUGGAGUUGUAUUUUUCUUGUAUUUUAUUUGGCACUCUUUUAAGUUUUAUUGGAGAGAUUUGAUUGAUUGUAUUGUAAGAUAUUUGGGAGACUAGUUUUUAUAAAGGGA
rnacentral:lncRNA from 1 species